CAAAUUAUAAUUAUGACCUGCAAAAUCUUAUUUAUCACUGUUUGAUCGAUAUCGAGUCUAGUUUUCUACAAAUGUAUGUAAAAAUAUUUGUGUUUGUUUUUGGUCAUAGCAUUUUUGGUUUAUGAGUUUUUUUUGUUCCUUUUUAUGCCCCAGUUGUAGCGUAGGGGCAUUAUGUUUUACCCUUGUCCAUCUUGUCUGUACGUCCCAAAAUUAGUUUCCAUUCUCUAACUUAAGUUUGCCUCAACCAAAUGUUAUGAAACUUUAGACAAUGCUUAUUACCGCCAAACUCAGCACGAGUACAAAUAUGGUAGCAUCAGUUUUACAGUUCUUGAGUUAUGUCCCUUUAAUACAUUAUAUAGAACAUUUGAACAGAUUGUGCUUUAUGCCACUUAUAAUGCUAUUGUUUGUUCAGAAAAUAAAUUUUACUCUUAACAAGUUAGUUUUUAUUUAUUUUUCCCUUUCAAACAGUCAUCUUGUAUAAGUUAAUGUCAAGAAGACCCCUGUUGUGAUGUUGUCCUCUGAAAGAGGGAGAUAACCCUGGUUUCUUAUUGAAACUUUUCCAA
rnacentral:lncRNA from 1 species